GCCCGGCUAGCUCAGUCGGUAGAGCAUGAGACUCUUAGUAAUAUGGAAAUGUGUAUUUCCUAAGGGCUAUCUCAGGGUCGUGGGUUCGAGCCCCACGUUGGGCG
rnacentral:tRNA from 1 species